rnacentral:tRNA from 2 species
GGGAAGGUGGUGUAAUGGUCAGCAUUUCGCGUUGUGACCGCGACGGAGAUGGUUCGAGUCCUUCCUUUCCCCCCA